rfam:Homo sapiens chromosome 1 genomic contig HG2002_PATCH, GRC reference assembly FIX PATCH for GRCh38.
CCAAAGGCUCUUUUCAGAGCCACCCACACGAUCAAGAAAGGGUUU